UCAAAGAUUAAGCCAUGCAUGUCCAAGUAUAAACAACCUGUAUUUGUGAAACUGCGAAUGGCUCAAUAAAUCAGUUAUAAUUUAUUUGAUAGUGACUUUACUACAUGGAUAGCCGUAGUAAUUCUAGAGCUAAUACAUGCGUAAAGGCCCGACUCGAGAGGGAAGGGCUGUGUAUAUUAGAUCGAAAACCAACGAUCUAGGGUUCGGGGCAGAUUGUGUGCGCCCAGUUCCGCAAGGGGUUUGGUGUGUGCAGUCUGCCAGUCAACCGUCCCUGGAGUAGAAUUCUUGGUGAGUCAUGAUAUAUGUCGAAUCGGGCAUCAGCCUGAUGUGUCAAUCAAAUUUCUGCCCUAUCAACUUUUGAUGGUAGGAUAUUGGCCUACCAUGGUUUUGACGGGUAACGGAGAAUUAGGGUUCGAUUCCGGAGAGGGAGCCUGAGAGAUGGCUACCACUUUCAAGGAAGGCAGCAGGCGCGCAAAUUACCCAAUCCCAAUAAGUUUGGGGAGGUAGUGACAAAAAAUAACAAUGCGGUGCCCUAACGGGUAUCUGCAAUUGGAAUGGGGUGGACUUAAAACCUCCACCGAGAAACAAUUAGAGGGCAAGUCUGGUGCCAGCAGCCGCGGUAAUUCCAGCUCUAAUAGUGUAUACUAAAAUUGCUGCAGUUAAAAAGCUCGUAGUUGGAUUUAGGAGGAGGCAAUAUUUUCCUGCACGAGAGAGUUCUGUGGUGGUGUGUGUGUUCUUGCGUUGUACGUUCCUCCUACCGCUUCGGCGGUAGUGUUCGCUGCUUCACUUGAUCACACUACCACGCUCACACGGUUCUCUCAUAAUCUGGUGCUUUACUUUCUGCCAGUUCAUUGUCUCUAGCUGGCCGCGUUGGGAAUUUGACUGCCUUCGGGUUAGUCAGAUGAACUACACGGUCAGAGUAGGGCGCCUGGCUUAUGGGGGUAGAGUACUAGCGUGCCGGUAGCCUCUUCUAUAGUUUAUUUUCGGGGGACUGUUUUCUCCUUAAUUGGUUGGCGACGGUAACUCGGAGAUUUUACUUUGAAGAAAAUGGAGUGUUCAAAGCAGGUGAUUAUUGCAACUGAACACAUUAGCAUGGAAUAAUAAAAUAGGACACUUGGCCGUUGUUGCUAUAGUGGCUCACAGGUCCCUCGGGGUUUGUGAGAUUACAACAUUAUAGUGAUGGCUGUUACUAAACCUAACUCGUAAACGGGACGCCGGGGGCAACUCUGGCGGUUCGUGAGUUGGGAGGUAUUCUAUUUUGUUGGUUCAUAGAACAGGUGUAAUGAUUAAUAGGGACAGUUGGGGGUGUCUGUAUUGCGUGGCUAGAGGUGAAAUUCACGGAUUCACGCAAGACAAACAAAUGCGAAAGCAUUCACCAAGGAUGUUUUCAUUAAUCAAGAACGAAAGUUAAGGGAUCGAAGGCGAUCAGAAACCGCCCUAGUCUUAACUAUAAACGAUGCCAACUAGGGAUUGGAGGGAUGCUUAAUAUAUUAUAGCCCCGCCAGGACCUUUUCAGAGAAAUCGUAAGUCUCUGGGUUCUGGGGGGAGUAUGGUCACAAGGCUGAAACUUAAAGAAAUUGACGGAAGGGCACCACCAGGUGUGGAGCCUGCGGCUUAAUUUGACUCAACACGGGGAAACUUACCAGGUCCAGACACGGGAAGGAUUGACAGAUUGAGAGUUCUUUCUUGAUUCCGGGGGAUGGUGGUGCAUGGUCGUUCUUAGUUGGUGGAGUGAUUUGUCUGGUUAAUUCCGAUAACGAACGAGACCUCAACUAGCUAACUAGCCGACAGAAUAAUUAAAGAUUCUGCCUGUCGCCGGGUGGCUAUUCUUGACGGUUAGCCGAAAGGUCAGCCCGAGGGGGUAGUUUGCCUUGGCAGGUGUGAGGUAUUCUGUUUUUUCAAAGGCUUCUUAGAAGGACUACCGUAGUCGCAUGUGGUGGAAGCAUGAGGCAAUAACAGGUCUGUGAUGCCCUUAGAUGUUCUGGGCCGCACGCGCGCUACACUGAUGGAUUCAACAAGUGUUAAUUUUUAUUCCUUGCUCGAAAGAGUUGGGUAAUCUUGUAAAUAUCCAUCGUGCUGGGGAUUGACCUUUGUAAUUGUUGGUCAUGAACGAGGAAUACCUAGUAAGUGCAAGUCAUCAGCUUGCGCUGAUUACGUCCCUGCCCUUUGUACACACCGCCCGUCGCUCCUACCGAUUGAAUGAUCAGAUGAAAUGUUCGGAUUGUUGUUUUGCAAGCUGCCUUCGGGUGGUCGGUGAAGCGAUGAGAAGAACAGUAAAUCUUAUUAUUUAGA
rnacentral:rRNA from 1 species